rnacentral:lncRNA from 1 species
CUCUCCCCCCCCUCCCCCCCCCCCCCCCCCCCCCCUCUCCUUCUCCCUCUCCCCCCUCUCUCUCUUUAGGAGCCAUUUUGGACUCGGUUCAGCUUGGCUUUUCUAAACACUGUUAAGGUUCUAAAAACUGAGACACCACGUCCGGUCAUGUUUAUCAAAAUAAAAGCAUGUAACGUCAUCUCUGUGAAAUAAAACCAGGAUGUGUGCUGAAGCCCACAGAGCACCGUGUCCAGGUGUUAGAUCCAGGAAGGAGCAGUCUGUCCCUGCCUCCGGGUCUGGUCCCUGCCUCUGGUCCCUGCCUCCGGGUCUGGUCCCUGCCUCUGGUCCCUGCCUCUGGUCCCUGCCUCUGGGUCUGGUCCCUGCCUCUGGUCCCUGCCUCUGGUCCCUGCCUCUGGUCCCUGCCUCUGGGUCUGGUCCCUGCCUCUGGUCCCUGCCUCUGGUCCCUGCCUCCGGGUCUGGCCCCUGCCUCUGGUCCCUGCCUCCGGGUCUGGUCCCUGCCUCUGGUCCCUGCCUCUGGUCCCUGCCUCUGGGUCUGGUCCCUGCCUCUGGUCCCUGCCUCCGGGUCUGGUCCCUGCCUCUGGUCCCUGCCUCCGGGUCUGGUCCCUGCCUCCGGCUCUGGUCCCUGCCUCCGGGUCUGCUGCAGGCCCUCCAGGCUGAACCAGGCUCCAGCAGAGGUGCUAUGAUGACUGGCGGACCUGUCCGGCCGCUCUGCAGCUUCACGCAGUCUGACUGUGCUUUUAUUUUGAAAGCGGAUGUGGGUUGUGUGGGGGCGUUCGGUGCGACUUGACGGACCCUCUGCCUGCUUGUCCCCAGCAGCCCCGACCAGAGAGGGGGAGAGAGGACAAGGCGGCGGACAGAGAGCGAGGGACGGACAGAGGAGAGCUGGUCUGCGGGCUGUUUGCACCGCUGCCUUCUUCCGGGGACUUUCCGCGGGCCGGGACAGAGAGGGACCACCGCGCCGAGCCGCCGCUGCUCCGGGACCUUCCCCGUGGAGCUGCGCGGGUCUGAGGCAGUAGCAGGAGCGAGAAGGGGAGGAGGAGGCUGCUGGAUUGUUACACACGCUGCACAGCACUCCGCACAGACAGGUCCGGCGGACCGGCCGCCCCUCGCGGUUCUACGCAGCGUCGUUCUGCGCCUCUGGGACUUUUAAAUGUUGGAGGAGGACGCGGAGGACAGCGGGAGCAGAGCUGGCGGCG